rnacentral:rRNA from 1 species
GACGAACGCUGGCGGCGUGCUUAACACAUGCAAGUCGAACGGAAAGGCCCUGCUUUGGGGGGGUGCUCGAGGGGCGAACGGGGGAGUAACACGUGAGUAACCUGUCCUUGACUGUGGGAUAACUUCAGGAAACUGGGGCUAAUACGGGAUAGGAGCUCCUGCUGCAUGGUGGGGGUGGGAAAGUUUCGGCGGUUGGGGAUGGACUCGCGGCUUAUGAGAUUGUUGGUGGGGUAGUGGAUGACCAAGGCUUUGAAGGGUAGCCGGCCUGAGAGGGGGACCGGCCCCGUUAGGACUGGAAUACGGCACGGCCCACACCGGGACGCAGCAGUGCGGAAGAGAGCACAAUGCGCGGAGCCAUGAUCCAGUACAGCCGCGCCCGGGAUGACGUCAAUCCGGUUGUAAUCCGCUUCCCCCUGUGCCGAAACGUGAAUGACGGUACUGGGUAAAGAAGCACCGGCUAACUACGUG